rnacentral:rRNA from 1 species
UAGGGAAUCUUCCGCAAUGGGCGAAAGCCUGACGGAGCAACGCCGCGUGAGUGAUGAAGGUCUUCGGAUCGUAAAACUCUGUUAUUAGGGAAGAACAAAUGUGUAAGUAACUAUGCACGUCUUGACGGUACCUAAUCAGAAAGUCACGGCUAACUACGUGCCAGCAGCCGCGGGAAUACGUAGGUGGCAAGCGUUAUCCGGAAUUAUUGGGCGUAAAGCGCGCGUAGGCGGUUUUUUAAGUCUGAUGUGAAAGCCCACGGCUCAACCGUGGAGGGUCAUUGGAAACUGGAAGACUUGAGUGCAGAAGAGGAAAGUGGAAUUCCAUGUGUAGCGGUGAAAUGCGCAGAGAUAUGGAGGAACACCAGUGGCGAAGGCGACUUUCUGGUCUGUAACUGACGCUGAUGUGCGAAAGCGUGGGGAUCAAACAGG